GACGAACGCUGGCGGCGUGCUUAACACAUGCAAGUCGAACGGAAAGGCCCUGCUUUUGUGGGGUGCUCGAGUGGCGAACGGGUGAGUAACACGUGAGUAACCUGCCCUUGACUUUGGGAUAACUUCAGGAAACUGGGGCUAAUACCGGAUAGGAGCUCCUGCUGCAUGGUGGGGGUUGGAAAGUUUCGGCGGUUGGGGAUAGACUCGCGGCUUAUCAGCUUGUUGGUGGGGUAGUGGCUUACCAAGGCUUUGACGGGUAGCCGGCCUGAGAGGGUGACCGGCGACAUUGGGACUGAGAUACGGACCAGAAUCCUACGGGAGGCAGCAGUGGGGAAUAUUGCGCAAUGGGCGGAAGCCUGAUGCAGCAACGCCGCGUGCGGGAUGACGGCCUUCGGGUUGUAAACCGCUUUCGCCUGUGACGAAGCGUGAGUGACGGUAAUGGGUAAAGAAGCACCGGCUAACUACGUG
rnacentral:rRNA from 1 species